CCUACGGGUGGCAGCAGUGAGGAAUAUUGGUCAAUGGGCGGAAGCCUGAACCAGCCAUGCCGCGUGCAGGAAGACGGUCCUAUGGAUUGUAAACUGCUUUUAUUUGGGAAUAAACCUCUUUACGAGUAUUGAGCUGAAGGUACCAAAUGAAUAAGCACCGGCUAACUCCGUGCCAGCAGCCGCGGUAAUACGGAGGGUGCAAGCGUUAUCCGGAAUCAUUGGGUUUAAAGGGUCCGCAGGCGGUCUUAUAAGUCAGUGGUGAAAGCCUACAGCUUAACUGUAGAACUGCCAUUGAUACUGUAGGACUUGAAUGUGGUCGAAGUGGGCGGAAUGUGUAGUGUAGCGGUGAAAUGCUUAGAUAUUACACAGAACACCGAUAGCGAAGGCAGCUCACUAGGCCAUGAUUGACGCUCAUGGACGAAAGCGUGGGGAGCAAACAGGAUUAGAUACCCCUGUAGUC
rnacentral:rRNA from 1 species